GCCCAUCUAGUGUGUAAACUCAGCGUGUAAAGAAGGUGAAGAGCCCAUCUAGUGUGUAAAGCCAGCGUGUAAAGAAGGUGAAGAGCCCAUCUAGUGUGUAAAGCCAGCGUGUAAAGAAGGUGAGGAGCCCAUCUAGUGUGUAAAGCCAGCGUGUAAAGAAGGUGAGGAGCCCAUCUAGUGUGUAAAGCCAGCGUGUAAAGAAGGUGAAGAGCCCAUCUAGUGUGUAAAGCCAGUGUGUAAAGAAGGUGAGGAGCCCAUCUAGUGUGUAAACCCAGCGUGCAACAAAGGUGAGGAAUCAAUCU